UACGUAGGGGGCUAGCGUUGUCCGGAAUCAUUGGGCGUAAAGCGCGUGUAGGCGGUCCGGUAAGUCCGCUGUGAAAGUCGAGGGCUCAACCCUCGAAUGCCGGUGGAUACUGUCGGGCUUGAGUACGGGAGAGGCGAGUGGAAUUCCUGGUGUAGCGGUGAAAUGCGCAGAUAUCUGGAGGAACACCGGUGGCGAAGGCGGCAUCCUGGACCAUGACUGACGCUGAGGAGCGAAAGCCAGGGGAGCAAACGGG
rnacentral:rRNA from 1 species